UUGUGUCAAAAUAUCAUUGAUUUCUAUUUACUUAAACUAAAGUUAUAGUGCGAAAACCAAGAAAAUGCUUAUUUCGGCCCUUUUUGGCCCCUAAUUCCUAAACUGUUGGAACCAAAACUUCCAAAAUCAAUCCCAACCUUCCUUUUAUGGUCAUAAACCUUGUGUUUAAAUUUCAUACAUUUCUAUUUACUUAAACUAAAGUUAUAGUGUGAAAACCAAAAGUAUUCGGACGACGCCGCCAAUGUGAUAC
rnacentral:lncRNA from 1 species